rnacentral:rRNA from 1 species
AUUGAACGCUGGCGGCAUGCCUUACACAUGCAAGUCGAACGGUAACAGGCCGCAAGGUGCUGACGAGUGGCGAACGGGUGAGUAAUGCAUCGGAACGUGCCCAGUCGUGGGGGAUAACUGCUCGAAAGAGCAGCUAAUACCGCAUACGACCUGAGGGUGAAAGCGGGGGACCGUAAGGCCUCGCGCGAUUGGAGCGGCCGAUGUCAGAUUAGCUAGUUGGUGGGGUAAAGGCCUACCAAGGCAACGAUCUGUAGUUGGUCUGAGAGGACGACCAGCCACACUGGGACUGAGACACGGCCCAGACUCCUACGGGAGGCAGCAGUGGGGAAUUUUGGACAAUGGGCGCAAGCCUGACCCAGCAAUGCCGCGUGCAGGAAGAAGGCCUUCGGGUUGUAAACUGCUUUUGUCAGGGAAGAAAUCUUCUGGGCUAAUACCCCGGGAGGAUGACGGUACCUGAAGAAUAAGCACCGGCUAACUACGUGCCAGCAGCCGCAGUAACAC